rnacentral:rRNA from 1 species
GUGAGGAAUAUUGCGCAAUGGAGGCAACUCUGACGCAGCCAUGCCGCGUGCAGGAAGAAGGCGCUACGCGUUGUAAACUGCUUUUAACCGGGAAGAAACCCCAGGACGUGUCCUGGGUUGACGGUACCGGAGGAAUAAGCACCGGCUAACUUCGUGCCAGCAGCCGCGGUAAUACGAAGGGUGCAAGCGUUAUCCGGAUGCAUUGGGUUUAAAGGGUGCGUAGGCGGAGCGUUAAGUCAGUGGUGAAAUCCUGCAGCUUAACUGUAGACUUGCCAUUGAUACUGGCGCUCUUGAGUGCGCUUGAAGUGGGCGGAAUGUGCUGUGUAGCGGUGAAAUGCUUAGAUAUGGCACAGAACACCAAUUGCGAAGGCAGCUCACUAAGGCGAUACUGACGCUGAGGCACGAAAGCGUGGGGAUCGAACAGGAUUAGAUACCCGGGUAGUCC